rnacentral:piRNA from 1 species
UCCUGACUCCUCUACGGCAUUAGAAG